rnacentral:lncRNA from 1 species
GCGAACAAAGCACAUGUUAAGUCCGAACAGCCUAGCCAACGGUUCAAAUAGGCUGGUAUAAAGCAAAACGUGUUUGAAAAGAUGGCAUAAAGGGAAACCGCAGCUGAGCAUCCAUGGUAAGAGAACAAAUCCAAUUUUAAGCUUUAUUAACACAAUAAAAAAUGAUUUCAACCAAAAACAAACAUCCACACAAACAAAACAAAAUUUCAUCUUUCAAAUAAAUUAAAUCUAGUUUAAAAUUUGGCUUCCAAUCUAAGCAGCAAACAUGAAGAUAAUGAGAAGAUACAUGUCUUUUCAGAUACCGAUGAAGACAGAGACAGUGGUUCGCGGUGGAAGUUGAAACGACGGUGAUGCUUUCUGUUUCUUCUUCUUCUCUUUCUUUUUAUGUGUUUUUCAUCAAUAUUAAUCUCAGAUCCCUCCUUCUUUUUCUUUUUGAAAUUUGAUAGGGCGUAUUUAUAAAGUUUUUUUAUUUGUUUAGUUGUUUUCUUGCUUGCCUUGGUCCUUCUCCAUCAAUGUCCUGUUUGAUGUUUCGUUUUCUUUGCUGCAUUUUUCUGCACCUUUGAUGUCUUCAUAAUUUUAGAUUAUUUGUUCUGUUCAUUGCUGAGCUUUUAUUUGUCUUUUAGUUUCUUUUUUUUUAAAACUCAAAAAUUUGUCUCUUUGUUCUUAUCAUGUGUGCAAAGGCUAACUAAUAAAAAAAAUGUUUUUUUGUUUCUCCAAUUAGUUACAAAGCAAAGGCUGGUGCUUCAACCAUGACACUGUAUCAGGACCAGAAAGGCAGUGGUAAGGAUAGCAACAAAACAGAGCCAAAAUAGGUUGGCUUAAUUUGGUUUAAAUUUGAUAAUUGUAAAUUAAAAUUGUAAUUUGAGAUAUAAUGAAAUUAUUUAUUGUAAUUAUUUUUAUUUCCUUUUUUAAAUACAUAUUUUCUUUUUUUGAAUUAUUUUCUUUUUUGAUUUAUUUUUAACAAAAAUGGACAAAAUUAGGGUACUACACUAUUCACUUUUUGUAAAUAUUUAUGAUUUUUUUCCUCAUUUUUUCUUAAAUUUGUAUGCUUCAUCUUGACUUUUCUAUAUUUUUUUCUUCUUUUGUUUUUCUCAUUUUAUUCACGUUUUGUAAAUAUUUGUUUGUUUUUUUUACCAUUUUUUCCUCCUUUGUGCUCUUGUUUUUAUGUUUCACGUUAACUUUCUUAUACUUUUUUUUUUCAUUUUUGCAAUUGAAUGACAUUUCAUAAAUAUUUUUGUUUUUUCACUAUUAAAUUAUAGCAUAUUCACUCCAUAUAGAUCUUUGUAAACUCAAUUAGCUAAAUAUAUUGUUUAGACAAAGUUAACACUCAAACCUUACAGCUUUGAGUUCAUUCUAUAGAUAUUCACACUAAAUUUUGUUUUGUUUUUUUUUUUUAUAGUUUUUUUUACUAUUUUUCCAUUUACUUUUACUUUUUUUUUCAUAUCUUUGUUUCACACAUCUUUGUUGUAUGGGUUUAUGAUUAAUGUAUUGUUUUUUUAAUGGUCCUAACCUUUAUAUUUGUACUUAAUAUUUACUUUACAAUCUUGAUUUUUAUCGAUUUUUUUAUUAGAAAGUAUUAAUUUGCUUUUUCUUUCCUAUCAUUUUUUUCUUGCAAUAUGCUAUUAUGUAUUCUUUUUUAAUCUUCUGUGAAAGGCAUUGGCUCCAGAGAAAGGUGUUCAUGUAUUUUUAUUUUAUUUUGGGUCAUUACACAUUCUUUUCUUUCAGUUUGUUAGUUUUUAAAUUUCACAAUAUAGAUAUUUUAUUGUUGAUGAGUUUUCUAAAUUAUGAAAUUGCAGAAGUAGCAUCUUACUUAUGUCAAGACAAACAAUUUGGUUCAUGUAAUUAAGCUCCAACCAUAAUUUAAAACGAUAAAUAUUUGAUUACUCUAGAUAAAUAUUUGUCAGUAAUAAUAAAAAAUUACAGGAUAAAUAUUUAUCAUUGAUACUUAAAAAAAUGAGACAAAAUAUUACUAUUGAU